rnacentral:misc_RNA from 1 species
ACAAAUCUUGGAACUUGCUUGCUUCUUUUCCACCCGGCAUAAAGAAUCCACUGAGUAAUUUUGUGAAAAAGAAGCAAGCAAGUUCCAAGAUUUGUUGCGAGGUAACAUUAGUGUAAACAAUUACAUCCGAAAAAAUAGAAAAUCAUCUUCUAGUAAUACUUGAAAAGGAAGCUCCUGUUUUCUUCUUUUCCCGAGGACAGGUAGGCUUCAAAGCUGUACAUCGUGUGUGUGCGCUUUGCAUAUUCCAUCAAACAAUCGUAUAUAUCUCACUUCACUUCCAUCUUUGCAUAAAGAAUCUGCUCUCAAUGUGGCAAUGGAGUACAAGUCCUGCCUUNNNNNCCGUGUGUGGUAAAGCCUUGUAGCCAUAUUCACAUUGUUGAAACUAUUCCACUCCAUAACUUUUUUCUCACAAUCAGAACUUGUUCUUCACCCGAAGAGAGAGCAUCACUCUUUGGUUCAACUUCUGACAUCCAGCGAGGCAGUGACAAAUUUGCGAAUAUAGUUUACAAUUGAGGGUUUGUCCCUUAUGAUGACAAACCCUUCAGGCCUUAGUAUCCGGUCCAUUUCAAUUAGUAGAUACUCUAAACCACACCCAUGCUCCUGAAUCUUGGUAAAUAUUUGCCAGGCAUGAAGAAGAUCAUAAGAGCGUGGAUAUGUAGAAAAUGCUUCACACCAGUCAUGAACUGUUCCAAUUAAGCCUCGGUCAUAAAUAAUCUUUAAUCUAGCAGACUGGUUGACUGGAGAAACAUUCAUCACCCAUACGUCUGUAUCUUUGAGAGAAGCACCAAAACCCCCCAAGUUCGAAUUCAUAUCCAUGACAUUUCUGAAGUAACUCUUCCGUACAACAGAUUUCAUCUGCUUCCAGUACUCACUGACUCUAAAUUGCCAUAUCCUAGUAUCUUCAUGGAAUUCUUCAGCACUGACACCAAUUUCUUCCAGACGUGGAGGUGCCUCAGUAAGCCUCUGAGGCCAGGGAAGUAGUCCACUUCCUCUUACCUUGUGCAUCUUUGAUGAGUAUGGAGAGAUGCAUGCCUUCAUGUGUAUGUUCCAAGUUGCAUCAGGGUCAUCAUCAGUACUGCACAAAAGGGGUAAAGUUCCAGGAUCUCUUUUCAAGAAACAGCUAUUACUUGUGGGCUUUGCCCAGAUAACAGUCUGGUCUUUCCUCACAACAACUCUCCAACACAUUCUUCUCAAAAGAUCAUGCAUAGCAUUCCAGAUCCUUCGAUUUUCUGGAUCAUGCGCAUAUGCUUCAGGAGAAGAGUAUGCAAAAUAUCCUCCAGGUCUCAGUAAUCUGUCAAGUUCUAAUAAAAGAAUUCCGUCUCUUUGGAGCCAGUCAAUCCGACAUCUUGAACAAUGAGCCAGUUCA